GAGGGUACAGCUCAGUGGUAGGGCACCCGCUUAGCAUGUGAAAGGUUCUGGGUUCAAUCCCCAGUACCUCCA
rfam:Camelus ferus unplaced genomic scaffold scaffold407, whole genome shotgun sequence.